rnacentral:rRNA from 1 species
UACGAAGGGGGCUAGCGUUGCUCGGAAUCACUGGGCGUAAAGCGCACGUAGGCGGAUUGUUAAGUCAGGGGUGAAAUCCUGGAGCUCAACUCCAGAACUGCCUUUGAUACUGGCGAUCUCGAGUCCGGGAGAGGUGAGUGGAACUGGCGAGUGUAGAGGUGAAAUUCGUAGAUAUUCGCAAAGAACACCAGUGGCGAAGGCGGCUCACUGGCCCGGUACUGACGCUGAGGUGCGAAAGCGGUGGGGAGCCAAA